UACGUAGGGCGCAAGCGUUGUCCGGAAUUAUUGGGCGUAAAGAGCUCGUAGGCGGUUCUGCGCUCCGUGAAGAACCCGGGGCUCAACCCCGGGUCUGCAGUGGGUACGGGCAGACUAGAGUGCAGUAGGGGAGACUGGAAUUCCUGGUGUAGCGGUGAAAUGCGCAGAUAUCAGGAGGAACACCGAUGGCGAAGGCAGGUCUCUGGGCUGUUACUGACGCUGAGGAGCGAAAGCAUGGGGAGCGAACAGGAUUAGAUACCCGGCGUC
rnacentral:rRNA from 1 species